rnacentral:rRNA from 1 species
AUUGCCUCAGUAGCGGCGAGCGAAGCGGCAACAGCCCAGAUUUGAAAUCUGUCCCGUAAGGGUCCGACUUGUAAUCUGCAGAUGGUGCUUCCCGGGGGCACGCGUGUCGCCCAAGUGUACCUGGAACGGUUCGCCGUAGAGGGUGAGAGCCCCGUACGGCGGCACCGAGCCUCCUCCAGCGAAGCUCAUUCGGAGAGUCGAGCAGUUUGGGAAUGCUGCUCUAAAGGGAGGUAAAUCCCUUCCAAGGCUAAAUACCUGCCGGAGACCGAUAGCGCAGAAGUAGCGCGAGCGAAAGGUGAAUAGAACUCUGAAAAGAGAGUUAAAGCAUGUGAAAUCGUUGAAGGGGAAGCGGUUUCGACCAGACGCGCGCCGGUUGAUCACCCAGCGGUCACGCUGGGGCACUCUGCCGGCGCGGGCCAGCAUCGGCUGGCGGCGGGAUCAAAGGUCCAGGGAACGUAGCUCUUCGGAGUGUUAUAGCCCGGGCGUAAUGUCUCGUCGCCGGCCGAGGAAUCAGCGCCUUCGGGCACGGAUGCUGGCGUAAUGGUCGACACCGACCCGUCUUGAAACACGGACCAAGGAGUUGACCUUGCGUGCGAGUGUAAGGGUGUAAAGCCCUGGCGCGAAAUGAAAGUGAACGUAGGUGGGAGCCCUCUGGGUGCACCACCGACCGAUCCUGAAGUUCUCUGACGGAUUCGAGUACGAGCACGUUGGGUCUGACCCGAAAGAAGCGUGAACUAUGCCUGGAUAGGGUGAAGCCAGAGGAAACUCUGGUGGAGGCUCGCAGCGGUUCUGACGUGCAAAUCGAUCGUCAAAUCUUGGCAUGGGGGCGAAAGACCAAUCGAACCUUCUAGU